GACGAACGCUGGCGGCGUGCUUAACACAUGCAAGUCAAACGGUAAGGCCCUUCGGGGUACACGAGUGGCGAACGGGUGAGUAACACGUGGGUGAUCUGCCCUGCACUUUGGGAUAAGCCUGGGAAACUGGGUCUAAUACCGAAUACACCUUGCUGGUCGCAUGGCCUGGUGGGGGAAAGCUUUUGCGGUGUGGGAUGGGCCCGCGGCCUAUCAGCUUGUUGGUGGGGUGAUGGCCUACCAAGGCGACGACGGGUAGCCGGCCUGAGAGGGUGUCCGGCCACACUGGGACUGAGAUACGGCCCAGACUCCUACGGGAGGCAGCAGUGGGGAAUAUUGCACAAUGGGCGCAAGCCUGAUGCAGCGACGCCGCGUGAGGGAUGACGGCCUUCGGGUUGUAAACCUCUUUCAAUAGGGACGAAGCGGAAGUGACGGUACCUAUAGAAGAAGCACCGGCCAACUACGUGCCAGCCGCCGCCGUAA
rnacentral:rRNA from 1 species